rnacentral:rRNA from 1 species
GAUGAACGCUGGCGGCGUGCCUAAUACAUGCAAGUCGAGCGAACGAAAGAAACGCAUGCUUUUCUGAUGUUAGAGGCGGACGGAUGAGUAACACGUGGAUAACCUACCUAUAAGACUGGGAUAACUUCGGGAAACCGGAGCUAAUACCGGAUAAUAUUUUGAACCGCAUGGUUCAAAAGUGAAAGACGGUCUUGCUGUCACUUAUAGAUGGAUCCGCGCUGCAUUAGCUAGUUGGUAAGGUAACGGCUUACCAAGGCAACGAUGCAUAGCCGACCUGAGAGGGUGAUCGGCCACACUGGAACUGAGACACGGUCCAGACUCCUACGGGAGGCAGCAGUAGGGAAUCUUCCGCAAUGGGCGAAAGCCUGACGGAGCAACGCCGCGUGAGUGAUGAAGGUCUUCGGAUCGUAAAACUCUGUUAUUGGGGAUGAACAUAUGUGUAAGUAACUGUGCACAUCUUGACGGUACCUAAUCAGAAAGCCACGGCUAACUACGUG